CCUACGGGUGGCAGCAGUGGGGAAUAUUGCACAAUGGGGGAAACCCUGAUGCAGCAACGCCGCGUGAGUGAAGAAGUAUCUCGGUAUGUAAAGCUCUAUCAGCAGGGAAGAAAAUGACGGUACCUGACUAAGAAGCCCCGGCUAACUACGUGCCAGCAGCCGCGGUAAUCCGUAGGGGGCAAGCGUUAUCCGGAUUUACUGGGUGUAAGGGGAGCGGAGACGGGGUGGCAAGUCUGAAGUAAAAGCCCGGGCUCAACCCCGGGACUGCUUUGGAAACUGUCAUGCUGGAGUGCUGGAGAGGUAAGCGGAAUUCCUAGUGUAGCGGUGAAAUGCGUAGAUAUUAGGAGGAACACCAGUGGCGAAGGCGGCUUACUGGACAGUAACUGACGUUGAGGCUCGAAAGCGUGGGGAGCAAACAGGAUUAGAUACCCUAGUAGUC
rnacentral:rRNA from 1 species